rnacentral:snRNA from 1 species
UGAUAGUCUUCAAAACGAG